rnacentral:rRNA from 1 species
GAUGAACGCUAGCGGCAGGCUUAAUACAUGCAAGUCGAGGGGCAGCAUGAUUGUAGCAAUACAAUUGAUGGCGACCGGCAAACGGGUGCGGAACACGUACACAACCUUCCUUUAAGCGGGGGAUAGCCCAGAGAAAUUUGGAUUAAUACCCCAUAGUAUUAUGGAGUGGCAUCAAUUUAUAAUUAAAGAUUUAUCACUUAGAGAUGGCUGUGCGGCUGAUUAGGUAGUUGGUGAGGGUAACGGCCCACCAAGCCUUCGAUCAGUAACUGGUGUGAGAGCACGACCAGUCACACGGGCACUGAGACACGGGCCCGACUCCUACGGGAGGCAGCAGUAAGGAAUAUUGGUCAAUGGACGGAAGUCUGAACCAGCCAUGCCGCGUGAAGGAUGAAGGUCCUCUGGAUUGUAAACUUCUUUUAUGUGGGAAGAAAUGCAUUCUAUAUAGAGUGUUUGACGGUACCAUAGGAAUAAGCACCGGCUAACUCCGUGCCAGCCGCCGCAGUAAGAC